AUUCCCGGUUGAUCCUGCCGGAGGCCAUUGCUAUCGGAAUCCGAUUUAGCCAUGCUAGUCGCACGGGUUUAGACCCGUGGCGAACAGCUCAGUAACACGUGGCCAAACUGCCCUGUGGACGGGGAUAAUCUCGGGAAACUGAGGCUAAUCCCCGAUAGGGCUUCCAUCCUGGAGUGGAGGAAGUCCAAAAGGUUGCGCUGCGGCACCACAGGAUGUGGCUGCGGCCGAUUAGGUAGACGGUGGGGUAACGGCCCACCGUGCCAGUAAUCGGUACGGGUGAUGAGAGUCAGAGCCCGGAGACGGUAUCUGAGACAAGAUACCGGGCCCUACGGGGCGCAGCAGGCGCGAAACCUUUACACUGCACGACAGUGCGAUAGGGGGAUUCCGAGUGCGAGGGCAUACAGUCCUCGCUUUUCUGGAUCGUAAGGAGAUGCAAGAAUAAGGGCUGGGCAAGACCGGUGCCAGCCGCCGCGGUAAUACCGGCAGCCCGAGUGAUGGCCGAUAUUAUUGGGCCUAAAGCGUCCGUAGCU
rnacentral:rRNA from 1 species